AGAGUUUGAUCCUGGCUCAGAACGAACGCUGGCGGCAGGCUUAACACAUGCAAGUCGAACGCACUCUUCGGAGUGAGUGGCGCACGGGUGAGUAACGCGUGGGAACGUACCAUUUGGUAGGGAAUAGCUCCGGGAAACUGGAAUUAAUACCCUAUACGCCCUGAGGGGGAAAGAUUUAUCGCCAAAUGAUCGGCCCGCGUGAGAUUAGCUAGUUGGUGAGGUAAUGGCUCACCAAGGCGACGAUCUCUAGCUGGUCUGAGAGGAUGAUCAGCCACACUGGAACUGAGACACGGUCCAGACUCCUACGGGAGGCAGCAGUGAGGAAUAUUCGGCAAUGGGGGAAACCCUGACCGAGCCAUGCCGCGUGAAUGAUGAAGGCCUUAGGGUUGUAAAGUUCUUUCGCUGGUGAAGAUAAUGACGGUAACCAGUAAAGAAGCCCCGGCUAACUUCGUGCCAGCAGCCGCGGUAAUUC
rnacentral:rRNA from 1 species